UACACAAAUUGUUGAAUUCUGUACAGGAAGUAUGCACCUGCUGAACUUCAGGCUCAAGUGAUAGUGGAAGCACUUAGCACCUCUUGGUAUAUAUAAUUCCACACCAAAUUAAAUUCGAGGAUCGCUCUCUCAAUUUUCGCUGAUGACACUUGUUGGUCAUGCGUCAAACAUCUGCACGGCCUGUAGUAGAACUGACAAGGUGGUGGUGUCAUACAGAGAACUGCUAGUGAAGCAGUUCUAGUUACGUUAGUGGCAGCUCGUGACCGGAUGUUGAAAAAGGCGGGAAAAAAUUCUCGGGGGAAACUUGUUACGUUGUUUAUUCAACGUCAGAUGAUCUUUUUUACUAUAUUGCAAGUGAACUUGCAAAAUUUGUUACCCAAGAAGGUGAAGAAUUUCGACUUCCUUGUGGUAGAGAAAGGGAACUCGGUUUUACCUUUUCGUUCCCUGUAAUGCAAACAUCCAUUGACUCUGGAACUUUAAUCACAUGGGCAAAAGGCUUCUGUAUAGAUGAUACGGUAAAACUUAUUACCUUGGUGCUAAAAUUUAGAUAUUAGUUAAUUUUUAUGACCAUGGCUAUUCUGUUAUCUACAACCAGUGUGCUCUACUUUUGUUCUAUUACAGUAUAGCUUAGUGUUAGUGGUUCUAGAGAAAUGUUGCUGAAGUCAUAAUGGUUGAUAUGGCUUAU